rnacentral:rRNA from 1 species
UACGAAGGGGGCUAGCGUUGCUCGGAAUUACUGGGCGUAAAGCGCACGUAGGCGGAUCUUUAAGUCAGGGGUGAAAUCCUGGAGCUCAACUCCAGAACUGCCUUUGAUACUGAGGACCUUGAGUUCGGGAGAGGUGAGUGGAACUGCGAGUGUAGAGGUGAAAUUCGUAGAUAUUCGCAAGAACACCAGUGGCGAAGGCGGCUCACUGGCCCGGUACUGACGCUGAGGUGCGAAAGCGUGGGGAGCAAACAGG